rnacentral:rRNA from 1 species
UACGUAGGGUCCGAGCGUUAAUCGGAAUUACUGGGCGUAAAGGGCUUGUAGGUGGCCAACUAAGUCAGACGUGAAAUCCCUCGGCUUAACCGGGGAACUGCGUCUGAUACUGGAUGGCUGGAGUGUGGGAGAGGGAUGCGGAAUUCCAGGUGUAGCGGUGAAAUGCGUAGAUAUCUGGAGGAACACCGGUGGCGAAGGCGGCAUCCUGGACCAUUACUGACACUGAAAAGCGAAAGCCAGGGGAGCAAACGGG